rnacentral:rRNA from 1 species
GUGAUGGAAAGUGGCGGACGGGUGAGUAAUGUGUAGAGAAUCUGCCCUUGAGUGGGGGACAACAGUUGGAAACGACUGCUAAUACCCCAUAUGAGCUUAGCUGAAAUGCUAAUCUUGAAAACUCCGGUGCUCAAGGAUGAGUCUGCAUCUGAUUAGCUAGUUGGCGGUGUAAUGGACCACCAAGGCUACGAUCAGUAGCUGGUUUGAGAGGAUGAUCAGCCACAAUGGGACUGAGACACGGCCCAUACUCC